rnacentral:lncRNA from 13 species
CCCACUUUUACUGCACGGAGGACUCUCCAAAUGGUUAUAAUAUUGUCCUUUUCCCUAUCUUCCCUCUUUUCUACCCCUGUUACUUUCUGUGUCCAGCUUGGGACUGUCAAUUCCAGAAAACAAGGGAAUACUGACACAUUAAAUCUUGAACACACCUCCUCCUUAGUAAAGCCCUUCUAUAAGGUAAUACUUGCUAGAAGAAAUAGAUCCCGAAAUGAGGAUGCCUCGAAAUCAACCAAGGCUUAUUUUUCACUCAAGCAGUAAUAGAAAACAAACGAUGAAGUCUCACUCUCGCCCAGGCUGAAGUGCAGUAGCACCACCUUGGCUCACUGUAACCUCCACCCCCUGGAUUCAAGUGAUUCUUCUGCCUCAGUCUCCUGACUAGCUGGGACUACAAGCAUGUGCCGCCACACCUGGCUCAUUUUUGUAAUUUUAGUAGAGAUAGGGUUUCACUAUGUUGGCUAGGUUGGUCUUGAACUCCUGACCUCAAGUGAUCCACCUACUUUGGCCUCCCAAAGUGCUGGGAUUACAGGGGUGAGCCACCAUGUCUGGCCCAAAUAUGUCCAUAUUUUUAGAUCCAGUGAUUCAACUUCUACGAAGUUAUCUCAAGGAACUAAUAAGAGAUGCAUUUAAACAUAUGAGAGCAUGGAUGCAAUACUCUUGCAAAAUCUGGGAAAUGACUUCAAUAUACAAUAAUUGUGGACUGGUUUGAAAAUAAAGACACACCUGUUUAAAAGGUUACUCUCCA